rnacentral:rRNA from 1 species
CGGGGGGCAGCAGUGGGGAAUAUUGGACAAUGGGCGAAAGCCUGAUCCAGCCAUGCCGCGUGUGUGAAGAAGGUCUUCGGAUUGUAAAGCACUUUAAGUUGGGAGGAAGGGUUGUAGAUUAAUACUCUGCAAUUUUGACGUUACCGACAGAAUAAGCACCGGCUAACUCUGUGCCAGCAGCCGCGGUAAUACAGAGGGUGCAAGCGUUAAUCGGAAUUACUGGGCGUAAAGCGCGCGUAGGUGGUUUGUUAAGUUGGAUGUGAAAUCCCCGGGCUCAACCUGGGAACUGCAUUCAAAACUGACUGACUAGAGUAUGGUAGAGGGUGGUGGAAUUUCCUGUGUAGCGGUGAAAUGCGUAGAUAUAGGAAGGAACACCAGUGGCGAAGGCGACCACCUGGACUGAUACUGACACUGAGGUGCGAAAGCGUGGGGAGCAAACAGGAUUAGAUACCCGCGU